AUUGAACGCUGGCGGCAUGCUUUACACAUGCAAGUCGAACGGUAACAGGCCGCAAGGUGCUGACGAGUGGCGAACGGGUGAGUAAUGCAUCGGAACGUGCCCAGUCGUGGGGGAUAACUACUCGAAAGAGUAGCUAAUACCGCAUACGAUCUAUUGAUGAAAGCGUGGGACCGUAAGGCCUCGCGCGAUUGGAGCGUCCGAUGUCAGAUUAGGUAGUUGGUGGGGUAAAGGCUCACCAAGCCAACGAUCUGUAGCUGGUCUGAGAGGACGACCAGCCACACUGGGACUGAGAAACGGCCCAGACUCCUACGGGAGGCAGCAGUGGGGAAUUUUGGACAAGGGGCGAAAGCCUGAUACAGCAAUGCCGCGUGCAGGAAGAAGGACUUCGGGUUGUAAACUGCUUUUGUACGGAACGAAACGGCUCUGGUUAAUACCCGGGGCUAAUGACGGUACCGUAAGAAUAAGCACCGGCUAACUCCGUG
rnacentral:rRNA from 1 species